AAAGAAGGGGCUCUUAUGUGUGCUCUGCUCAAAGUGUAUUCUGCUAAGAACCAGUACAAUCUCUACUAGUAAUUGAUUGUUUUAAAUAAUGAAUUUAUAUCUAUUAGGCUUUAUUCCCAUCUGCUGGUGUUCAUGCAGUGUUUUUGCAGCAUGAUGGCUGGCAUAACAUCCCUCCCAGGCUUCAUGAAGAGUAGCUCAGCUCAGAGGACUGGCCUCCUUAUCCUUUUGCGACAAGAUGGCAAAGCUGUCAUGAAUACCAAUCACCCUCUCAGAUGCAGACUAACACAACCCAGAACAAUGACUAAAUGAGGAUCUGGGAGAAAGGAACUGUGUGUGCAAUGGAGUGUAAGUGAUUAAUUGAAAUUUAGGUUUUUAGUAUUGCGGUCUGUUAAUUCAGCUUUUCAGAGGUUUCUGAUGCUGCGUCUGACUCACAAGGUCUCCAUGGUAAUAGAUUGGGGUUGUCAUAGAAACUGAAGGACCACCGUUAAAAAGGCUCCAAAUGUGACUCGUGUGUUUUCUCACACACUGUGACGUAGUUUGAAUAGAAGAUAGGGGCUUGAGACACAAGGGCAAAGGGCCAUUUUGGUGUUGGCAGUUAAUUAAUACAUGCAUGAACUUACACCAUUGUCAGUUAUUAGGUUUUUAAUGUCCAAAUGGAAGCAUGAGCAGUUCAUUAACAAGCUUAAAGUAGGUCCUGUAGUCCUACAACAGAAGGCACCUUUAUAACAUGUCUAUGCGAAUGCAGAAUAAGCCACUUUCAUUCUGCAGAGACUAAAAUUAUAUGCAAUAGUAUUAAAUAUAGUAUGCACAUACUGUAUCUAUAAAGAAGUAAACAUUCCCGACCUGACAAGAGUUUGACAUGCAGUGGAAUACUUAAUCGAAAACUAUCUUAACUAAUGUGUAUU